UUACUGGAGUGGUCUCAUUUAGCCCUACAGCUUAAACCCCCAUCCGUACUCCCAAUAUCAUAUCCUAAAUCCACCACUCAGCAUGGAUCUCUGUCCUGAUUUUCAAAUUUUUAUUCCCAACUGCCUGUUAUCCAGAUGGCCCAAAUGAGCUUAAAAAAAAGCAGAAAAAGCAUUAUCAAUAUGCACCCACUUAGGCAUGUUCCUUUUCCUGCCUUCCACACCUUUUUUAGCAGCAGCACAAUUUAUAUGGUUGCUCAAACUAAUUUAUCUUCAGAAUCAUCUUAUCUCCGAUUCUUCAAUUUCCUUCACCCCUCACCAUCUGCUUGGUCCCCGUCAAAUUUCUCUCCUAAGAUGUCUCACACCUAUUUCUUCUUUAAGCCCACUGCCCCAGUCCCCUUAUCCUGUCUCAUCUAUUCUAUCACGACAGUCUCACUACAGUCUUCCUACCUAUAAGUUCUUCCCCUUCCAGACUACAAUCUUCCAGGCUAGGGUAAUCUUCCUGAAUUAUUAAUCUGAUCAUGGUACAAGCUCAUGUAUAAACCUCUCUUGACUCUCUGCAUCCGACAGGGUGGACGCCAAAUCCUUCACCCGGCCUUCACCGUCCAGCCCGGCUCUGACUGCUUUGCUGGUUUUAUCCCGUGUCAACCUACCUAUGGCUGCACCGAGAGACCUGAUCUUUAUCUUCUGAACUAUUAGGAUGUCCUUCCCGGCUCCUGCCAACUAGCUAAGUGAAUAAAGGGACUACAGGGAAAGGGUUAUUUUAGUCAUUUAAACUCGCAAAGAAUCGCUUCUUGGCCUCUUGGCUAAGAUCAAGUAUAAUCUCUUAAAGAAAAUCUGGUUAAGAACUAUUCCCGAAUAUCAAGUUAUGAUAUUAAAUUUACCUUUUUUGGUUGGUGUGCUGGUAUUGAUGAAAGAAAAAUAGGCUUAUCAGGUCCAUAAACACCCACUAUAAAUGGUCGUCGCUGAGGUUUCUCUCUUUAAUUUUUUCAGUCGCUUUUCCUCCAGGUAUUUCUGGAGCAUUUGUCUUCGUUGAUCACUUAGAAGAGACUUUGCUGAUCCUAAGCAGGGGGCAAAAUAGCAUAUAAAAGAUCACUUGCGCUGGGGAAGUCAGUGGCCAUGUGGUGCCUUAAGGAGACUCAAGCAGCCCUAUGGAGAUGCCACAUGACGAAGAACUAAGGCCUCCUGCCAAAAAGCCAGCAUCCACUUGCCAGUCAUGUGAGUGAGUCAUCUUGGAAACAGCUCCUCCAGCCUCAGUCAAGCUUCAGAGGCAUCCCUGGAUGACACCUUGACUGCAACCUGCAGGACCACCCGGCUGAGCAGCACCCAAAUUCCUGACCCCCAAAAAUUGUAUGAAAUAAUAAAUGCUUGUUGUUUUAAACCAUGA
rnacentral:lncRNA from 1 species